GAUGAACGCUGACAGAAUGCUUAACACAUGCAAGUCCACUUGAACUUCGGUUUGGGUGGCGGACGGGUGAGUAACGCGUACAGAACUUGCCUCACAGCUAGGGACAACAUUUGGAAACGAAUGCUAAUACCUGAUAUUAUGAUUAUAUGGCAUCGUAUAAUUAUGAAAGCUAUAUGCGCUGUGAGAGAGCUUUGCGUCCCAUUAGCUAGUUGGAGAGGUAACAGCUCACCAAGGCGAUGAUGGGUAGCCGGCCUGAGAGGGUGAUCGGCCACAAGGGGACUGAGACACGGCCCUUACUCCUACGGGAGGCAGCAGUGGGGAAUAUUGGACAAUGGACCGAGAGUCUGAUACAGCAAUUCUGUGUGCACGAUGAAGUUUUUCGGAAUGUAAAGUGCUUUCAGUUGGGAAGAAAAAAAUGACGGUACCAACAGAAGAAGUGACGGCUAAAUACGUG
rnacentral:rRNA from 1 species